rnacentral:misc_RNA from 1 species
AUCUCAAAUAGCUUAGGGACUUAUAUCUGCUCAAGGAGCUAAAUUAGAAGAUAAAACUAUAGAAGAAAACAGCAUAGAAAAACCAGAUUAAAAUUAUAAAGAAAUAUCCUUGAUCUUCACUGAAUGGGUAACAAUAAAUUUGAAAAAGCUAAAGGUUUCUUCGAGAAAUUUAAAAAUGCACAAUCUGUAGGGAAGGUAUAAUCGAAUAUUUUCCUAGUGUAGACUGAAUUUUAAUUUAAAAUUCUAGAUAUGAUUUUACACGUUCGAGAACACAUUAGUAAAUAAUUAAGACGUUACUACCUCCUCUAGAUUUUCUGCAAGAUUAGUAUUUCGCAGAUGUUUCAAAUUUUCACAGAUUAAAACAUAACUGUUGCAGCUAAAUGGGUGGAGACUUUAUCUCUAUGUUCUCUCCUCGAUAAUGGACUUUUAGUGUUUUCAUAUCAAAUUUUUUGUAUUGACUCAAGACUGUAUUUCUGUAAUAUUUCAGAACAUUCUGAACUUUUUCAAUGAUUAGAAUAUUUUUACUUUCAUUUUUUCGAAACUUAUUCGAUUCCAGUGAAUUCAUUCAGAACUGAGAAAAUAGAUGGCGGCACUGGCUUAAGAGACUUUCGAAUUUACAAAUACUGGCUUUGUCUCCUUUUUAUUCUCGCCUUCUCAUGAAAGGUACAAUGGAAUCGUACUUCUUAUAAUUACCGUGAGAAGCCUUAAGUUGUUAAGCCGAUAGUUUGAACUUCUGGUAAAAACUCUGUGUAGUUCUAAGCCUGAAGCGAAAUGAAAACUCCAAAUCUCAUCUAACUCACAGCGGAGCGUGAAAUGUACGCAUGCGCAGUGGUUACUUUCUUCCUCGACAUCUUGUAUGUCCUAGGAAAAGUAUCAUAUGUAGAGAAGAUAUAUCUGAAAUUUUCGAUCGUCGCUGUGUAUAUUAAUGAAUACUCAUCUUGUGUGUUAUUAGAUUAGUCCUACUGCAAUUGAGUACACUUCAACAUCAGAAAAAGGACAAAUAUCGUUUUUAGUAAUUUUCUUCAAUAUCAACUUAUUUCGAUUCAUGAGAUUCAUGAUCAUACUUCUUCAGGACAUGGAAAAAAUUUGACACUGAUGCUACUAUAUCUAGAAUACUAGAUUCAUUUUUCUUCAUCCCAAGUCAGCAGAGAUCCUUCUCGAAGAAAAAGUUAUACAGCUGCUUUUAAACUUUUGGCAAUGAAGAAAGCGAUCGAAAUUGGAAAUCGUGCUGCAGGUAAAGAAUUUCAAGUUGAGGAGCGAUGCAUUCGGCUGUGGAAGUCCGAACAAGAAGAAUUAAAGGAAAUACCUAAGAAUAACAAAUGAGCGUUUAAAAUUUUGUUGGAAGACCUAAUUGAUGUUUCGGGUUCAUGAAGCGAAAGGAAUUAUCUGUCAAGGACCAAAACAACAGUUGGACAAAAGCUUCUCGUGGACUGGCUUGAAAAAAAGGAAAGAUAGCUUUUUUGGAGUACACAUAUAAGAAAGUUAUAAAACAAAAUUUGAAAAGAGGGCAAAUAACUAAUGUGGAUGAAGUGCACAUUACUUUUGAUUGUCCUCAGAGCAGAAAUGUUCAUUCAGUAGGUGAAAAAACUAUUUCAGUGUUAACAACCGAGAAUGAAAAGACUUCUUUUGCUUGUUUCGCCAAUGGAAGAGAAGUUAACGCUUUUGAUAAUUUUCAAAAGGAAACUUCCCUAAAGGAGUAUUAUUUGUGUGAACGAAAAAGGACGGAUGUGCGAAGAAGUGAUGGUUGGCUGAGAGAAAUUUGUCAUAAAAGGAAAGGUGCUUUUUUCAAACCCCGGAUAACUCGAAUCAUUCUGGAUUCACUGCGAUCCCAUUUAACGGAUACGGUAAGAUCUGAAGCAAAAAAAAACUUAGCACCGAUGUCUCAGUGAUACCAGGUGGGCUUGCAAAAAUUUCACAGCUGCUGGAUCUCUUUAUAACAGGAAUUUUCAAGCAUGAACUAUAAAAGCAGUGGGAGGAAUGGGUGCAAAGCGGACUCCAUUCCUUCACAAAUUCUGGACGAAUGAGAAAAGUUUCGUAUGAGGAGGCUGCCUGCUGGGUCUAUAACACAUGACAAUCAGUCCGAGCUGAUACAAUUGUAUCAGCUUUACAAUUACAAAGCUGAUACAAUUGUAUCAGCUUUCAUUAAAUCGAAAAUCAUCGAAAAUGAAAGUGAAGAUAGUGACGUUGCAAGAAGUGAUUUAGAAUAGAAUGAUGAAAUUGACCUUAAUGGUCAUUUGUUAAAUUUACUUAAUUCUGACGUCAAUGAGUCAGAUUUUGAAGGUUUUGUAAGUAAUAAAUGUAGUUUAAUUUAA